GGGUUGUGAGGUUAAGCGACUAAGCGUACACGGUGGAUGCCCUGGCAGUCAGAGGCGAUGAAGGGCGUGCUAAUCUGCGAUAAGCGCCGGUAAGGUGAUAUGAACCGUUAUAACCGGCGAUACCCGAAUGGGGAAACCCAGUGUGAUUCGUCACACUAUCAUUAACUGAAUCCAUAGGUUAAUGAGGCGAACCGGGGGAACUGAAACAUCUAAGUACCCCGAGGAAAAGAAAUCAACCGAGAUUCCCCCAGUAGCGGCGAGCGAACGGGGAGGAGCCCAGAGCCUGAAUCAGCAUGUGUGUUAGUGGAAGCGUCUGGAAAGGUGCGCGAUACAGGGUGACAGCCC
rnacentral:rRNA from 1 species